CACGUAUUUAGCCGGAGCUUUCUUCUAUGGUACUGUCAUUAUCUUCCCAUAGGACAGAACUUUACGAUGCGAAUACCUUCUUCGUUCACGCGGCGUCGCUGCAUCAGGGUUUCCCCCAUUGUGCAAUAUUCCCCACUGCUGCCUCCCGUAGGAGUUUGGACCGUGUCUCAGUUCCAAUGUGGCCGUUCAUCCUCUCAGACCGGCUACUGAUCGUCGCCUUGGUGGGCUGUUAUCUCACCAACUAGCUAAUCAGACGCGAGCCCAUCUAUGACCGAUAAAUCUUUGACCGUUGAAACAUGUGUUUCUACGUAUUUUAUGCGGUAUUAAUCCCCGGUUUCCGAGGCUAUCCCACUGUCAUAGGCAGGUUGCUCACGCGUUACUCACCCGUUCGCCACUCUCAUUAGUAAUCUUCCACCGAGCUUCUGUCUACUAAAUCCCGUUGACUUGCAUGUGUUAAGCCACGCCGCCAGUCGUUCGUCCGUGUACGCCGAGGUACGUACUAAACUACC
rnacentral:rRNA from 1 species